UUCACAAGGGUUGGAGUUUGGAAUUGCAGAAAGGAGACUUGAUCUCAAAAUAAAAAUGAGAAAAGGAAAACAAAAUCACAUUAGAAGGAUGUUCUUCUCUUAUGUUGUAUGUUCUUCUCAACAAUAGCUAUGAACUUCAGCCAUCAAUGCCUUUAAUUUUGUCUUCCACCUCUGAAUAGUGAAUGCAAUUUCCUGAGCAAAAUCACAUAGUUUUGCUCUGCUGGUUCAUCUAUUAUUAAUUCAGCAGCCAUCUUCA
rnacentral:lncRNA from 1 species